AUUGAACGCUGGCGGCAUGCUUUACACAUGCAAGUCGAACGGUAACAGGCCUUCUGGUGCUGACGCUUGGCGCACGGGUGAGUAAUGCAUCGGAACGUACCCUGCGGUGGGGGAUAACGCAGCUAAAGCUGUGCUAAUACCGCAUGUGAUCUGAGGAUGAGAUCGGGGGACCGAGCAGCAAUGUUUGGCCUCGCGCCUUUGGAGCGGCCGCUGUGGGAGUAGCUAGUUGGUGGGGUACAGACCUAGCAAGUCGACGAUCCGUAGCUGGACUGAGUGGACGACCAGCGACACUAGGACGGAGACACGGACCAGGCUCCUACGGGAGGCAGCAGUGGGGAAUGGGAGACAAUGGGCGCAAGCCUGAUCCAGCAAUGCCGCGUGCGGGAAGAAGGCCUUCGGGUUGUAAACCGCUUUUGGCAGGAACGAAACGGUGUCCGCUAAUACCGGGCGCUAAUGACGGUACCUGCAGAAUAAGCACCGGCUAACUACGUG
rnacentral:rRNA from 1 species